rnacentral:rRNA from 2 species
UUAAGCGACUAAGCGUACACGGUGGAUGCCCUGGCAGUCAGAGGCGAUGAAGGACGUGCUAAUCUGCGAUAAGCGUCGGUGAGGUGAUAUGAACCGUUAUAACCGGCGAUUUCCGAAUGGGGAAACCCAGUGUGUUUCGACACACUAUCAUUAACUGAAUCCAUAGGUUAAUGAGGCGAACCGGGGGAACUGAAACAUCUAAGUACCCCGAGGAAAAGAAAUCAACCGAGAUUCCCCCAGUAGCGGCGAGCGAACGGGGAGCAGCCCAGAGCCUGAAUCAGUAUGUGUGUUAGUGGAAGCGUCUGGAAAGGCGCGCGAUACAGGGUGACAGCCCCGUACACAAAAAUGCACAUGCUGUGAGCUCGAUGAGUAGGGCGGGACACGUGGUAUCCUGUCUGAAUAUGGGGGGACCAUCCUCCAAGGCUAAAUACUCCUGACUGACCGAUAGUGAACCAGUACCGUGAGGGAAAGGCGAAAAGAACCCCGGCGAGGGGAGUGAAAAAGAACCUGAAACCGUGUACGUACAAGCAGUGGGAGCACGCUUAGGCGUGUGACUGCGUACCUUUUGUAUAAUGGGUCAGCGACUUAUAUUCUGUAGCAAGGUUAACCGAAUAGGGGAGCCGAAGGGAAACCGAGUCUUAACUGGGCGUUAAGUUGCAGGGUAUAGACCCGAAACCCGGUGAUCUAGCCAUGGGCAGGUUGAAGGUUGGGUAACACUAACUGGAGGACCGAACCGACUAAUGUUGAAAAAUUAGCGGAUGACUUGUGGCUGGGGGUGAAAGGCCAAUCAAACCGGGAGAUAGCUGGUUCUCCCCGAAAGCUAUUUAGGUAGCGCCUCGUGAAUUCAUCUCCGGGGGUAGAGCACUGUUUCGGCAAGGGGGUCAUCCCGACUUACCAACCCGAUGCAAACUGCGAAUACCGGAGAAUGUUAUCACGGGAGACACACGGCGGGUGCUAACGUCCGUCGUGAAGAGGGAAACAACCCAGACCGCCAGCUAAGGUCCCAAAGUCAUGGUUAAGUGGGAAACGAUGUGGGAAGGCCCAGACAGCCAGGAUGUUGGCUUAGAAGCAGCCAUCAUUUAAAGAAAGCGUAAUAGCUCACUGGUCGAGUCGGCCUGCGCGGAAGAUGUAACGGGGCUAAACCAUGCACCGAAGCUGCGGCAGCGACGCUGAUGCGUUGUUGGGUAGGGGAGCGUUCUGUAAGCCUGUGAAGGUGGCCUGUGAGGGUUGCUGGAGGUAUCAGAAGUGCGAAUGCUGACAUAAGUAACGAUAAAGCGGGUGAAAAGCCCGCUCGCCGGAAGACCAAGGGUUCCUGUCCAACGUUAAUCGGGGCAGGGUGAGUCGACCCCUAAGGCGAGGCCGAAAGGCGUAGUCGAUGGGAAACAGGUUAAUAUUCCUGUACUUGGUGUUACUGCGAAGGGGGGACGGAGAAGGCUAUGUUGGCCGGGCGACGGUUGUCCCGGUUUAAGCGUGUAGGCUGGUUUUCCAGGCAAAUCCGGAAAAUCAAGGCUGAGGCGUGAUGACGAGGCACUACGGUGCUGAAGCAACAAAUGCCCUGCUUCCAGGAAAAGCCUCUAAGCAUCAGGUAACAUCAAAUCGUACCCCAAACCGACACAGGUGGUCAGGUAGAGAAUACCAAGGCGCUUGAGAGAACUCGGGUGAAGGAACUAGGCAAAAUGGUGCCGUAACUUCGGGAGAAGGCACGCUGAUAUGUAGGUGAAGUCCCUCGCGGAUGGAGCUGAAAUCAGUCGAAGAUACCAGCUGGCUGCAACUGUUUAUUAAAAACACAGCACUGUGCAAACACGAAAGUGGACGUAUACGGUGUGACGCCUGCCCGGUGCCGGAAGGUUAAUUGAUGGGGUCAGCGCAAGCGAAGCUCUUGAUCGAAGCCCCGGUAAACGGCGGCCGUAACUAUAACGGUCCUAAGGUAGCGAAAUUCCUUGUCGGGUAAGUUCCGACCUGCACGAAUGGCGUAAUGAUGGCCAGGCUGUCUCCACCCGAGACUCAGUGAAAUUGAACUCGCUGUGAAGAUGCAGUGUACCCGCGGCAAGACGGAAAGACCCCGUGAACCUUUACUAUAGCUUGACACUGAACAUUGAGCCUUGAUGUGUAGGAUAGGUGGGAGGCUUUGAAGUGUGGACGCCAGUCUGCAUGGAGCCGACCUUGAAAUACCACCCUUUAAUGUUUGAUGUUCUAACGUUGACCCGUGAUCCGGGUUGCGGACAGUGUCUGGUGGGUAGUUUGACUGGGGCGGUCUCCUCCUAAAGAGUAACGGAGGAGCACGAAGGUUGGCUAAUCCUGGUCGGACAUCAGGAGGUUAGUGCAAUGGCAUAAGCCAGCUUGACUGCGAGCGUGACGGCGCGAGCAGGUGCGAAAGCAGGUCAUAGUGAUCCGGUGGUUCUGAAUGGAAGGGCCAUCGCUCAACGGAUAAAAGGUACUCCGGGGAUAACAGGCUGAUACCGCCCAAGAGUUCAUAUCGACGGCGGUGUUUGGCACCUCGAUGUCGGCUCAUCACAUCCUGGGGCUGAAGUAGGUCCCAAGGGUAUGGCUGUUCGCCAUUUAAAGUGGUACGCGAGCUGGGUUUAGAACGUCGUGAGACAGUUCGGUCCCUAUCUGCCGUGGGCGCUGGAGAACUGAGGGGGGCUGCUCCUAGUACGAGAGGACCGGAGUGGACGCAUCACUGGUGUUCGGGUUGUCAUGCCAAUGGCACUGCCCGGUAGCUAAAUGCGGAAGAGAUAAGUGCUGAAAGCAUCUAAGCACGAAACUUGCCCCGAGAUGAGUUCUCCCUGACUCCUUGAGAGUCCUGAAGGAACGUUGAAGACGACGACGUUGAUAGGCCGGGUGUGUAAGCGCAGCGAUGCGUUGAGCUAACCGGUACUAAUGAACCGUGAGGCUUAACCUU